UACGUAGGGGGCUAGCGUUGUCCGGAAUCAUUGGGCGUAAAGCGCGCGUAGGCGGCCCGGUAAGUCCGCUGUGAAAGUCCAGGGCUCAACCCUGGAAAGCCGGUGGAUACUGCCGGGCUAGAGUCCGGGAGAGGCGAGUGGAAUUCCUGGUGUAGCGGUGGAAUGCGCAGAUAUCGUAAGGAAGACCAGUGGCGAAGGCGGGUCUCUGGACAGUUCCUGACGCUGAGGCACGAAGGCCAGGGGAGCAAACGGG
rnacentral:rRNA from 1 species